GAUGAAGAACGCAGCGAAAUGCGAUAAGUAGUGUGAAUUGCAGAAUUCAGUGAAUCAUCGAAUCUUUGAACGCACAUUUCGCCCAUUGGUAUUCCAAUGGGCAUGCCUGUUCGAGCGUCAUUUGUACCCUCAAGCUUUGCUUGGUGUUGGGCGUUUGUCUUUCGAGACUCGCCUUAAAAAGAUUGGCAGCCGGCAUACUGGUUUCGGAGCGCAGCACAAAUUGCGGUCUGUUCCUGAAUGUUGACGUCCAUGAAGCCCCCAUUAUCACUUUUGACCUCGGAUCAGGUAGGGAUACCCGCUGAACUUAAGCAUAUCAAUAAGCGGAGGA
rnacentral:misc_RNA from 1 species